CCUAAUUCUAUACACAUAGAAGACUGCAGCGUAGUGUCAGCUUUAUAUGUACUGGAUACCAGUUCACAUGAGUCACCUUGUGUGGUCAAGUUCUGGUGAUAGACACAAGCCCGAGUCCUCUCCCAUGCCUCAAGGGGAGCCUGUGGAGUUCUGGGAGCAGGACUGGAGGUCCAGGAAUGCUAUGGGCCCCCUGCACUGUGGAUAAGGGACAGUCUGGGCCAGAGUGACAGUGAGAAGUGGGCUGGACAGGGGAGGGUCACAGUCUCUCGUGGACCAGACUCUAGUCGAGCUCCUCUGAGUGGCUGCCAGCGAGGUCCUGACUCCUCAGGCUUCAAGGUCUGUCUCUUUAUUGUCCAAUUUUAGCAAGAUUCCUGUUGAGUCCGAUUGGUCAGAGCUCGCCAGGCUCAACAUCAGACCAGACUGGUCGUCCCCCACCCCCCGAUACUGAGGACUGAUCCCUGCCUGCAUUCAGCAUGAAGCCUGGGCACAGUCUAGCACGUCUGCUGUGAUGGUUAUAUUAUACUGCAAACCACCAGCAGCAGGUGAGCGGACAAAGACCCCAGAGGAUCCUUCAGGUCCCCAGUGGCCACAGCUGAGCACAGCUGACCUGCCCCACAGACGUGCUGCUGCUCCUGCUGGCCCACCUGACCAAGGUGCACCUCUGUGCAUUCACAGCUUCCACUGAGUGUGUCCCUUCUGACCGGAGAAAACAAUCUGGAUACUGUUUAAAAGGAGAUGUCUUACAGCCUAGAUGGUGUCAGCCUAUCUGGGAAGACAGGCAAACUUCCAGUGGAACUGGAAAGAAACGCGCAGCCAGAGACACCAUGCUUGUCCUCAUCACAUUGUGGCCUUCCUUCAGAUGUGUUUUUCAUCCAUUCGGUGUGGAAGGGAUAUUAUGAAUAUUCAGGAAAAAGAUAGCCUGUGACCCCAACUGUCGAACUGUUUCAACAGAGCAAGCAGCAAAGUGAACACGACCUACACUGAAGCCUCCCAGGGGGAGCUGCAGUUGACGGGUGUCUACAAGGAGGAGGAGGCCCACUUAUUUCUGAAAGCUUUUCAGAUUAAAGAGCCAGUGGAUAUUUUCAUCAGCAACUUUGAGAAUGACAACUGGGGACUGGAUAGUUAUGUACCAUCUGGACUUGAAAGGGAAGGGUUUACUUUUCAAGGUGACAUACACAGAAAAGACUGGGAAAUAUAAGCUGGAAAGGCAAGGUAUGCUGCACUUACUUGAUUUUUCAAAGCAAGUAUCAGGUUGGUCUGCAUAUGACUGAGCUGAGUGUGACAGAAAGGAUGUGAUUUGAAAGAAACAGAAACAAAAAUAAUGGGAAAGACUCAUGUACUUUACAGCUGGUUGAAAAAAAAUCCCCUUCACUGGCAGCAAAAUAGAAAAUAUCAGCUGGCAUAAAUGCAAUAAAUAUGUGAGACACAGAAUAUCCUUAAUUUACCAAGAGUUAUUUUGAAAAACAGGAAAAAAAGCAAGGUGGAAAUGCAGAAAGAAUAAACAAACUACAUUACCCUAAGAAUAUCAUUAAAUAUAAGUAAGUAAAAAUGGCCAACAAACUAUGAAAAGAUCUUAACUUGAAACAUAGGUAUUAUGACAACAAAG
ensembl:lncRNA